rnacentral:SRP_RNA from 1 species
GCUGGGCGUGGUGAUGCAUGUCUGUAGUCCCAGCUACUCAGGAGGCUGAGGCAGGAGGAUCGCUUGAGCCCAGGAGGCAGAGGCUGCAGUGAACUGAGAUUGCGCCACUGCACUCCAGCCUGGGCAACAUAGGGAGAUCCUGUCUCAA